ensembl:snoRNA SNORD22 Small nucleolar RNA SNORD22
UCCUAGUGAAGAAGCAUUCAAGCAUUACUUUCUCCUAAUCCCAGAGUUUGUAAAGGUGAGCCCACUGGGGCCGGCUGGAGACGAGAAAAGUUUGUUCCAGAAGGAACUGAGGAA